GGCCAGCCUAGGUUAUCCCUGAUAAAGUGGAGAUUAAAGAUCUGGGAGGGCCCUCAAAGGCCAUCUGGUUCAAGCUCAUCCGCUGCUGUCCGACUGCCCUAAAGCCCUUAUACUUUCGUUUUUGUUGCUUUGACUUCUGAUUCUGGGAAGAUGGUGGCUUAGAUACAGCAAAGCUCCAGACUUCUGAAAAUCCUUCAACUCUAAUCAAGGACAAAGUGCUUCAAGGGGACACAGAACCAAAUCUGGCAACAGAACAGAGCUGAGGGAUCCUCCUGCUGAACCCAACUUAAAAGGAAAUGAAGAAGGAGCAAAUGGAACAGAAGAGGACCAAGG